rnacentral:rRNA from 1 species
UACGUAGGGGGCGAGCGUUGUCCGGAAUUACUGGGCGUAAAGAGAGCGUAGGCGGCACUACAAGUCUCAUGUGAAAUACCCGGGCUUAACUUGGGGGUUGCAUGGGAAACUGUAGAGCUUGAGUACAGGAGAGGUAAGUGGAAUUCCUAGUGUAGCGGUGAAAUGCGUAGAUAUUAGGAGGAACACCAGUGGCGAAGGCGACUUACUGGACUGUAACUGACGUUGAGGCACGAAAGUGUGGGGAGCAAACAGG